UACGAAGGGGGCUAGCGUUGCUCGGAAUCACUGGGCGUAAAGGGUGCGUAGGCGGGUUUUAAGUCAGAGGUGAAAUCCUGGAGCUCAACUCCAGAACUGCCUUUGAUACUGGGAAUCUUGAGUAUGGAAGAGGUGAGUGGAACUGCGAGUGUAGAGGUGAAAUUCGUAGAUAUUCGGAAGAACACCCGUGGCGAAGGCGGUUCUCUGGGACGGUACUGACGCUGAGACGCGAAAGCGUGGGGGAGCGAACAGG
rnacentral:rRNA from 1 species